GGCAGCGCCCGCUCCGAUGUCUCUGGGGGUUCGGUUGCUACCUAGCAGAGCGGGUGCGAGGCGGGCACAAAGGGUCUCUGUUUUCGGGGGCUAAGUGGCACUCAGUUGAUCAAUUACCAGAUCAAUUGACUUCUCAAAUUCUAAUAUAAAUAAGAAUCACUUGACUCUCUUGUUAAAAUGCGGAUUCUGAUCCAGAAGGUCUGGGGUGGAGACCUGAGAUCCUGCAUUUCUAAUAAGCUCCCAGGUGGCGAUGACGAAGCUCUUGGUCGGAGGAUCACGCUUUGAAUUGCACCUGUCCGAAAGUAAUGGCUGUAGCCCCAGCUCCACGUAAUUUGAAACUUGCACGACCUUUCUUGUCCUUCUUCCACUGAUGAGAAGCGUUCCUGUGGCUACAUGGGGUGUCCCGGUGAUGCUUACAGUUUGGGCACCAGCUGAGGGAAGGUGUGUUUAAUCCCCACAUUACCCACCCUUGGUCUAUGGAGCAGCAAUCAUGCCAACUUGGUGACUGGAGUGUGGAACCAGAAGUGGAGACGGAAUGGCCAUGGAAGAGAACACUGUGUCUACGUUAAUCCUAAAGGGUUGGGCGUGUGUGUCUGAGUGGCGCGGUGCCAGACACUUGGCCAGAGAAGUGGUAUAAGUGGUCCCUGCUUCUCAAAACGUAACAAUUUGUUGUAGAACUAUACAGGCUAGUUCAGAAAGAAGCAUGUGGAGAAAACAUCCGGGAAGCUAACAGUCACAGCACAAAUUCAGGCAUAAGCUAAAGAGGUUGUAAAAUAAUAUGCCUUGAGGGUCUUAAAAACUGUCCAAAUAUUCUUCUGUCAGUAAUUCCAGAGUCUAGAAGUUAGGACUCCCACUGGCCCUGUCAUUUCUCAAAUUUGACCUAAGGACUCAGUGUUUUCGGACUGGCCAGCUAGAACCUUUGUCGUUCAGCGUAGCCAAGCUCUUAUUACCCAGUAGUGUACCGCCGUGGUUCAAGAUUCUUAAGUGCUGAAUUCUCCAAAACCUUCAUCUCUCAUCUCUUGAAACCAGGUGGUAUAACCCUGCUUCAGCAUUUCUCUCUCACUAUCAAGGUGAUCAAACUGUCGCUUAGAGAAAACUUCACCUUUGUCAGUGUGUCCUGAACUUCUCUGGCUUCUCAUCCCCAGAAGUGAAGCCCACCUAGCAAUCUCAGACAUUGUUCAUCACAUUGUCCCUAUCAGAGAUGGCAUCGCACAAAAUUCAGAGUUUCUGGGAACAUGUUAAACCUGUCACAGCAAUGGUUCUGGCUACAGCAGGAGUAAAGAAAUGUCUAAGCAAGAAAAAUGUUUUGAAAGCCUCAAAAAAAGUUUGUUUGCUGUCAUUAAACCAGUGGUUCUCAAGCCUAGCUGGAUGAAAGAAGCAACAAGAAACAAAGACUCUUGCUUGAGGAUGUGAAUUUGAAAAAAAAAAUCCAGGCUGUCGUUCAUCCUCUGUUUUUCAGUCUACUUGCCUCAUACAUAUAACCUGGUUUUCCUGUCUUGGGAAAUGGAUAUAUUAGUAACUUGAUAUGAGUUAGCUCAAACCAGGUUUCCUACCCCUUAGUCCAGAAAUUGCCCAGCAAGAGAUUUAGGUAUAUUUGAAAAGAAAGAAAAAGAUAAGAUAUAAGCCAUCCACCAUUUUGCCAAGUCCCAGAAAUCCACCCAUUGUUGUAUUAUUAUUAGAACCCCCAUAGACUGCUUUAUAAUUGCUAAUUACCUUUUUAUCUCUCUGACAAUAAAUAGCUUCUCUAAACUUAAUUGAUUUCAUUCAUGAAGACCGAUAGAUUACCCAAGGUUCUAGUCUCCAUCUGUCAUACAAAUCCUGGCAGGAUAACAUUUUGUGUCUAUGUAUCUGUGUUUUAAUAACUGAUACUUUUAUCCCUUUACUGUGACUGUGUACAGAUUUAACCCAACCACAAGGCAUUUUUGUAGAAAACUUGGUUUUCUUUAUAUUCUCUAUAACGAAUGUUAAGAAUAUUAAUAUUCGCUUUUAUAUUUUCACAAAACAAUUUAGACUUAAAAUAUGUGUAGAUAAUAUAUACCUCUCUGUACCUCCCCCAACUUAAGAAAUCAAGCAUUAUACAUACAGUUGAAGACCUCAUGUGCCCCUCCCAACAAGCUGAUUUUUUUUAAAUGGAGAUUUCAAAAUUUGCAAGCUUAUUCACCAAGGAGAGAUAAUGGUUUAUGGAAGGAACACCUAUCUCAUGCAUGUAAUAGGCAAUACAAGUGUAAAUGGGCAAAAGUCUUACUGAAUAAAAUGUUUGGACAUUCCAAACUGAUAUAAGAAAAAGCUAAGAAAGCUGGAAAUCACCUGUGGUUCAAAACCUGUGUCUUAACAAUUACAAACUGGACGUGGGAAGCAGGUAAGCUUCAGAAAACAACAGUUUGGAGCAGAGAUGAGGUAAGGAUUCAGGUUUCAUUCUUUCAAUCAACACACUACAUGAGCCUUGUCUUUUAGCUCAUUUUAAGAGAGGUAAGCUACCACAAUUCAAAAUAAAAACUUUUAUGUUACAAGCGAGGCGCAUAACACUGUAAGAUCGCGUAGAGAUGGAGUACCAAUUCUGACUGAUGAAAUCAGGGAAAGCUUUCUGCAAGAAAUUAUACGUGAACUGAAUUCCGGAGUUGUAGGAGUUAACCAGGUGUUGUGGACUGUUUCUCCCCAAAAUUCAUAUGUUGAAACCUCCCAUCCCCAGUGGAUGAUGUUGGGAGGUGGGGCCUUUGGGAGGUAAUUAGGAUUAGAUGAGGUUGUAACGGUAGAGCCCUCAUGAAUAGGAUUAAUGCCCUUUUUAAAGUCUCCAGAGACUUGCUUCUGCUCUCUGCCAUGUGAGGAUACAAUAAGAAGUCAGCAGACUGUCAUCCAGAAGAAGUCCCUCACCAGCACUUGUCCAUGCUGGUACCCUGAUCUCCAGCCUCUUGACCUGUGAAAAUAAAUUUCUGUUGUUUAUAAACCAUCCAGCUUAUGGCACUUUGCUAUAGCAGCCCGAAUGGACUAAGAUGCCAGCAAAGGGCAAAAGAAAGGGUGUUCUGGGCCUAGGGAACAGCCCACAUGAAAGCAUAAGAGCAUAGAGCAUUGGGAAAGAGAAAGUAGUGUUAUUUAACUGGGUUUAACAGGAGAAGGGGAAAAAAUGAUGAUUGAAAGGUGGGGCAAAGACCAGAAUUGAAAAAUUGCAAAUGCAUGAUAUGCCAUUCCUCCCUCCUCCUGUACAUAUGGCAGAUAAUCAAUCAUAGUAUUCAACUCUGUUAUAGUGAUUAUGAGUAAAAUCUAGGGCUACAUGGUAUGGGUUGAAAUCCCAGCUCCUCCAGCUGUGUAAACCCAGACAAUUUGGCCCCUGGAAGAUACUGGAUAAACGAUUCACAAAGUUAUCUCACCUGUAAAAUGGAAAUAAUGGCAAUACAAGUAGAGUGGUCCCUCCUCAUCUUCAGGGAGUAGGUUCUACAAACCCCAGUGGAUGCCUGAAACCCCAGAUAGUACCAAAUCCUAUAUAUGUAUAUGACUUUUUUUUCCUACACAUACACACCUGUGAUAAAGUUUAAUUUGUAUAUUAGGUACAGCAAAAGAUUAACAACAAUAAUAAGAUAGAACAAUUGUAACAAUACACAGAAAUAAGAAGUUAUGUGAAUGUGGUCUUUUUCUCCAAAUGUCUCAUUGUGCUAUACCUAGGGUAACUGAAACCAAGGAAAGCAAAAACGCAGUUAAAGGGGGACUAUUAUACUUGUGUCUUUUAGUUGUUUUCAUUUGUUUAUUUUUGAGGCAGAGUCUUACUCUGUUGCCCAGGCUGGAGUACAGUGGUGCUAUCUCGGCUCAUUGCAACCUCCUUCUCUGGGUUCAGGAGAUUCUCCUGCCUCAGCCUCCCGAGUAGCUUGUAUUACAUGUGCGCGCCACCAUGCGCAGCUAAUUUUUAUAAUUUUUUAGUAGAGAUGGGGUUUUGCCAUGUUGGCCAGGCUGGUCUUGAACUCCUGGCCUCAAACAGUCCACCCACUUUGGCCUCCCGAAGUGUUGGGAUUAUAGGCAUGAGCCACUACACUGUCUUAUAGUUGUUAAUGAGCUAAUUAAAUAAUACAAAGUGCUAAAGAAGUAUUUGCAUGUAGGCAAUGCUAAAUAAAUGAUAGGUAUUAUUAAUAUUAUUCUCCUAAACCUGAAUGUAGCUUCAUACUCAUCAACACAUUGUUAUUGGCAUCCCUCUUCAACCAAUCAGAAUGGGCACCCAGGGAGAACCUCCUUGCCAUCAUGGUUCCUGACAUGACUCUGACUUAGAGCUCAUCGUAAUGCCCCUCAUGUGUGACAAUUCUUAUUCACAUUUAAGCAAGUUCUUAUGAUAAAAGGUUUCUCUCAGUCCAAAACAAGUCAUAAAAAACUAGCGGCUCACAUACCUAAGUAUUUUCUUGGAAACUUAGAGAUUAUUUUUACUGAUUUUCUUAUGUAUAAUUUUUAAAUAAAAC
rnacentral:lncRNA from 1 species